AGUGAACGCUGGCGGUAGGCCUAACACAUGCAAGUCGAACGGCAGCACAGUAAGAGCUUGCUCUUACGGGUGGCGAGUGGCGGACGGGUGAGGAAUACAUCGGAAUCUACUUUUUCGUGGGGGAUAACGUAGGGAAACUUACGCUAAUACCGCAUACGACCUACGGGUGAAAGCAGGGGAUCUUCGGACCUUGCGCGAUUGAAUGAGCCGAUGUCGGAUUGGCUAGUUGGCGGGGUAAAGGCCCACCAAGGCGACGAUCCGUAGCUGGUCUGAGAGGAUGAUCAGCGACACUGGAACUGAGACACGGUCCAGAAACCGACGGGAGGCAGCAGGGGGGAAUAUUGGACAAUGGGCGAAAGCCUGAACCAGCCAUACCGCGUGGGUGAAGAAGGCCUGCGGGUUGUAAAGCCCUUUUGUUGGGAAAGAAAAGCAGCAGGUUAAUACCCCGCUGUUCUGACGGUACCCAAAGAAUAAGCACCGGCGAACUUCGU
rnacentral:rRNA from 1 species